UUACAUUCCAAGACUGCCUGCUUUUGUUGGAUAGACUGUUCAGCCAGAUAAACAGCUAUGUAAAAGCCUGCAGUGGGACUUGCUGAUGGUCCAUCUGAGCUCCAGCUCUCUGUGGCCUUGCUGAAGAACACUUCUAUGACAGAUACCUACGCUGCAGCCGCUAAAAGGUCCAGUUCCUUUUUCAUCGAGCACCACACUAUUUUAUGGGGAAAGGGAUAGACAUCACAUAUAAUAAGAUUUUCAGUUUCAGAGAUUAGCAGCCAGGUCUGUGUCUGCCUCCACUGACCAUCUGUCAACCAGCGCUGCUCACCUGGUGCCCUGGGUGUUACCUGUGUGCCUGUAUCCAGGAGACUGACUGGAAAGACCACAGUAAGAUUAGAGGGAGGUGGCUGAAGCUGCUCCCUGCUUGUCUGCUAAAAGUCAACAGCUCUGCGUGUCGCUGCCUGAAUCACAUGCAAAACAGACUGUGGGCUGCUGCUGCUUGUGGUCCAGUGUAUUGAAGUAAACCAUUAUCAAUGGCAGGAUCGCAUACGCUUUCAAAAGCAAAAUAUUUAAAUACUAGCCGAAGUGUUAUCAGCAAUUGCAAAGAUGUUCAAAGGUGAAUUAAAGUUUAUAAAAAUGUUUUACUAAUGGUGAACUAUAGGCAAAAAAUGUAUACAGCAAGUUUUGCUAGCAUUCAGACUGUGAAAAGGAUUCAGUGUGAAAAUAAGUUCUGCUACAUUUUUGUAAACUCUUUCUUACGUCCAGAGAUAAAAACUUUCUUUCUACUUCAGAGUAUCCACCAGUAUCUCAGGCUACAUGAUUCUCUGGAAACUGCUACGAUGCCCAUGGAUUUUGAUGUUGCAUUCUGAGAGCUCAGAGGGAUUUAAUGGAUCUCCUCUGCUUUUCCAGUUUGUAGACGAAACCAAAAGUGACAAGAAUCUGGAGAUACGGAUUUCAGUGUUAUCAGUGUGAUGGCAUUACAUUAGUCUAGACCUCCUCUUUGUUCAACCCAUUAGGGACUGUCAGCUCUCAUCCAUCUGGCUGACAUUCUGUAGCAUUAGUGAUGGCUGGUUGAAGUAACUCAGACAAAACCAAGAAUUUGCUUGUGAGCAGGGUAGAACUUUUCAAAAAUUUAACAGUUUCUACAAAGCUGUAACUCAGGGGGUGAAUCCAUCAGUGAAGAGGCAGCUAUAAAAUACAGAGGUCAUCCUUUGCUGCACUUUCAGGAGAUUGAUGGAAUAGUUUUGUUGUUUCAGUUGAACUGAAACUGCUGAUUGGCAGUUUUAUCUGUUUUUUCUGACCAAGUAUUUGCUUGACAUCAAGCUGUAGACACAACUUUUUUUCCAGAAAAAAGCAGGUAGCAUCUUCCAGAUGGGUUACCAAGAAAAUGAGUAGUUUUUUACAUUUGGUUAUAUUUUGAUAAAUUUAUAACUGGACAUUUCUAUUCCUUUGUUUCCAUUUAUACUACUUCCUGGGGAGGUUGUUCUUUUUACCUAGAAGGCAAACACCCUCAGUGUGAUAUCAAAACUCACAGAUAGCAUUGUGCAGUCCACUCAGAUGAGACGCUGUUAUAGUAGCCUAACUGAAAAGACAGUAAUUAACCAAAUUAUUUUCUCAGUUGUGUACACUUAAAAAUAUGGUAACCCAUUUAUCUGUUUGUAUGAAAUAGAGCAAUUAAUAUGUAAGGAAAUUACACAGUGAGGAGAGACGGGACUAUUUAUCUAACCUGAAAAUGGUUGCAUGCCAAUAAGGUAUUAGAAACUUCACAUAUAUAAAAGUAAAGAUACUCUUCUGCAAUGAAAGCUGUGCCCACAGUCAGGGUUUCUACAUGAGGAUGGGAUUCUGGCCAAGAGGCUGUUUAAGUAACUUGUCAGUUUGUUUGAAGUAUGAUACAGAGAGAGAAGCUUCUCGGAUUAGAGUAUGAAAGAACAAAUGAGGUUUUAUGUUCUUUGGGUUCACAAGGCUUUAAACCAAGUAACUGUGUUAUCUAGGUUAAUAAAUUCUUUGAUUGAGGAAAUCCUUAGAACUGGAGGGCAUGACCAUUCUGUGUGGUGUGACAGCAUUCUAAUAUAGUUCCUUGAGGACAGCUAGAAAAUAGGAUCGUAAUUCACAUUAUUACACCAGCAUGGGGUGACACACGCUUUCAAAAUCUUGCUUACUAUAAUAUGAUUUUAUUGAGUAUCAAGUGAUGACCAGGUUCAUCAUCUCUAAUGUAAUCUUUUUAAUAAUUAAAUGUUUUCAAUGUGUUUAGUAAUUAACUGAAAUAAAAGAGAGGUAAAAAGGAA